rnacentral:rRNA from 1 species
UACGAAGGGUGCAAACGUUGCUCGGAAUUAUUGGGCGUAAAGCGCACGUAGGCGGCUUAGCAAGUCGGAUGUGAAAUCCCUCGGCUCAACCAAGGAAGUGCAUCCGAAACUGCUGAGCUUGAGUACGAAAGAGGAUCGCGGAAUUCCCGGUGUAGAGGUGAAAUUCGUAGAUAUCAGGAGGAGCACCGAUGGCGAAGGCAGGUCUCUGGGCAUUAACUGACGCUGAGGAGCGAAAGCAUGGGGAGCGAACAGG